ensembl:lncRNA
AAAAUACAAAAGGCAUAAAAUGAUGAAAAAUUUUUCUACUUGUAUUUGCCUUGACCUCUGUUUACGACUUCAUAAAUUUGUCCCAGCAGGCUGAGGAUUGGACUGUCAACACUUAGUGGUGAAAAAGCAAGUGGUGAAAAGGCAGAGAUCUACUUCAUAUUCCAAUAAAACUACAGACGUCUAAGGCAUGUGUGGCUGGUUAUACUCAAGACUGCUGUCUCCACAAGCUCAAUAACUGUACUUGAAUGCUGUAAGGAUUAAGACAAUGCAUUUUCAAAAACAAGACAUGAAGAUUGCCUGGUGCUCUCUAAUCAUGCAACUCUGCACAAUGAGCGAGCCAUGUACCAGUCAGAGGCCGACGAGACGGCCCACCGAGACAUGUUCCCGUCAGAGGCCGAUGAGACCCACCAAGCUCUA